UGGGGAAUAUUGCACAAUGGGGGAAACCCUGAUGCAGCCAUGCCGCGUGUAUGAAGAAGGCCUUCGGGUUGUAAAGUACUUUCAGUUGUGAGGAAGGCGUUGGAGUUAAUAGCUUCAGCGCUUGACGUUAGCAACAGAAGAAGCACCGGCUAACUCCGUGCCAGCAGCCGCGGUAAUACGGAGGGUGCGAGCGUUAAUCGGAAUUACUGGGCGUAAAGCGCAUGCAGGCGGUCUGUUAAGCAAGAUGUGAAAGCCCGGGGCUCAACCUCGGAACAGCAUUUUGAACUGGCAGGCUAGAGUCUUGUAGAGGGGGGUAGAAUUUCAGGUGUAGCGGUGAAAUGCGUAGAGAUCUGAAGGAAUACCGGUGGCGAAGGCGGCCCCCUGGACAAAGACUGACGCUCAGAUGCGAAAGCGUGGGGAGCAAACAG
rnacentral:rRNA from 1 species